rnacentral:rRNA from 1 species
GGAGGUAGUGACAAUAAAUCACAAUGCGGAACUUCUGUUUUGCAAUUGGAUUGAGAACAACGCACAACACUUAUCGAUAAACAAUUGGAGGGCAAGUCUGGUGCCAGCAGCCGCGGUAAUUCCAGCUCCAAUAGCGUAUAUUAACGUUGUUGCAGUUAAAAAGCUCGUAGUUGAAGUGAAGUGUGAAUCUCUUGGAUUUUCGUUUGAAUUUCCUUUAGCUUCAUACUCUUUCCAAAUAGUUUGCAUGGGUAUUUACUUAUCUGUGUAUUGCAUUUGGUCAUUUACUGUGAGAAAAUUAGAGUGUUCAAAGCAUACGUUUGUUUGAAUACAUUAGCACGGAAUAAUUCGAAAAGGCUUUCAUGUUCGAUUUGAUUGGUUUGUUCGUGAAGGCAAGAUUAAAAGGGACAGUUGGGGGUAUUCAUAUUCAAUAGUCAGAGGUGAAAUUCUCGGAUUUAUGGAAGAUGAACAAGUGCGAAAGCA